rnacentral:lncRNA from 10 species
GUGGGGUUUAACUACACUGCCUUAGUGUGUAUCUAAUCCAAAGAUGACAUCGGACUGGCCCCUUGCUUAGAUAAUCCAGAGAAUGUAAUACAUUGGUAUAAAGUAGUUAAGGGUUUUGUUUUUUUAAGAAAUAAGUUUUGCUUUUGAAUACAAGUGACAGAAUUUCUUGAGGAAAAAAAUAAGGAAUUUUACUGUCUCAUUGACAAAUCAUUGAUGAGCAGAGCUAGCUUCAGCCAGUUCCAAGGACUCAUACAAGGCCACCUCUGGACUUUGCCUUCUUUCAUGUUGGGCCUUGUCCUCAGGCUUCACAUAGUAGCUUCUGGAAGCUUCAAAUUUACUCUUCUAGGUUCAAAUUCAGUGGAAUAGAUGGCACUUCUUGGUGGCUUCUAUGUAAGUAUUAGUAUUUCCUCCAACGGAAAAACCUGAAUACAGAAAUUAGCCAGGCAUGGUAGUGCACACCUGUAAUCCCAGCUACUCUGAGGCGGGCACAAGAAUCGCUUGAGCCCAUGAAGCAUAGGUUGCAGCAGUGAGCUGAGAUGAUGCCACUGCCCUCCAGCCUGGGUGACAGAGCAAGACAAAGAAAAGAAAAAGAAACAACUUGGUUCAUGUGAACAUUCCAGAACCAACUACUGUGGCUUGAGUGAUUCAGUGCCCUAAUUGGCCAUGUCUAGAUUACAUAUCCCGUCCUGGAUCUGAGGUUGGAACAAUACCGUUACAUCUAAAAACAGUGAAUGUCCACCACGAGGGCGUAUUCAAACACUGUCCGGCAGGGAAUAGAUGGCACACUCAAAGGAGCAAUUGAAGAGAGUUUUACGAAGGGAAACAGACAAAGGAUAGAGAAGCAUGUAGGGCUGGGAACAGGGGGACACUAGUUCCAACCCCCUAGGGCUGAAGGUGAAUGAUGAAGGAGCUGUUGUGGGAACGGAGUGAGAGGUGUAGCCAUGGGUAUGGGCCACCAGGCAGAGCUGUGACCAGAUAUAGACGAGCACAGCCACUGCCACAGCCCAGCCCAGAAGGGAGGGUGUAGAGUGACAACAUUUCUCCACCCCUCUCUCCUCCCAACUUCUGAUUCAUUUCUCAUGCUUCUGAUUACCCAAGCCUAACCAGGAGCCAGAAGGCAAGGAGCCUGGGUAUCAUAGUCUGCAGAGGGCAGCCUCUUGGAAUAAAGGGCAGGGUAGAAGGAGUCUGUGGAUUUGAUCUGAAAGGCAACAAAAUAACUAGCACACUUUGUUCCUGUAAAUCAGGGGUUGGCAAACUCUUGCCUGUAAAGGUGGAAAGGGAGUGAUCCCUCUCCUCCCCAUCAUAAGGGCCACAGCCAACACUCCUUUAACAAAAGAUAGGUUAACAAGAGAAACUCAUAACAAAUUUCUUUAAACAUAGUUUUAUGUGACAUGGGAUCCUUCAGAGUGAAGACAAAAAUACAUGGGGAAAACUGUCCAUUUUUAUGCUGGGGUUUGAUGAAGAAUGGACAGCUGUGUAGGCCUGCAACUGGAUAAAAAGACUGGAGUGUGUGCCAGAGGGCGUGCCAAGCUACAAGACAAUCACCUUCGAUUUCCCUGGAGAGUCAAUUUGACCAUAAGGAAUGACCGAAGGAUUGGGGAAGAAAAUACUCCCCCUGCUGAUGCUCCUUUGGUUCUACUUGGGAGUGAAGCUCACAAGAGGAGGGACUGCAAUAAACGUUCCCCAGAUGAUGCAGAGGUCUCUCUCUGCUGACAGUUAAUACCUUGCCUCCAAGCCUGAAUCGCCUUCCUGUCUGCGGGGUGUCUGAACGAACACAGCAAGAUGUGCAGGUCACUGAGUUAGAAGAAGUCGGCAGGGCCUAAGGCCUUCUGCAAGGUGUGACUCUCUCCCUCCAUACUGAGAACAUUUUGAAGUGACUUCAGAGGCUGCAGGGCUUGGGAAGUCCCAUGAGAACCGCUCCCCUUUCCCAAGGCACCGACAUGGCCUGUAGCCAGGCAUUGCUGUUUCUCAGCAGACUGAUCCAGGCCAGGCUUUCUGCUCUCCCUGCUGGAGGACCGCCAUCCUUAUUGAAUGUAUUUCCAAGAAAGCAGUUGACGGGCUUGGCUGUGCUAUUUCUGGAAAUGUUCAAUAGGCCAUCUUCUGGCAGGGACCGCUGCUGAUGGAUGGGUCUGAAGGGGAGACCGAGUGCUCAGCGCCAUCUCGGCCCCGGCCUAUUCCCAGGUGUCUCUGAGCAACAGCCGUCCCC